rnacentral:rRNA from 1 species
CGAACGUUAGCGGCAGGCUUAACACAUGCAAGUCGUACGAGAAAGCGUCCUUCGGGGCGUUAUUAAAGUGGCGCACGGGUGAGUAACACGUGGAUAAUCUGCCCUUUGGCGCGGGACAACAGUUCGAAAGGACUGCUAAUACCGCAUAAGUCGGAGACCUCAUAGGCGGUUUCCGGGAAAGGAUGGCCUCUAUACUAUGCUAUCGCCAGAGGAUGAGUCCGCGUUCCAUCAGCUAGUUGGUGAGGUAAUGGCUCACCAAGGCUUAGACGGAUAGCUGGUCUGAGAGGAUGAUCAGCCACACUGGGACUGAGACACGGCCCAGACUCCUACGGGAGGCAGCAGUGGGGAAUAUUGGACAAUGGGCGAAAGCCUGAUCCAGCCAUGCCGCGUGUGUGAUGAAGGCCUUAGGGUCGUAAAGCACUGUGGAGAGGGACGAACAAGUCAUGGGAACAAUACCCUGUGGCCCUGACGGUACCUCCUUAGCAAGCACCGGCUAACUCC